UGUGUCUCAGGUGUGCUCAGGUGAGUUUUGGGAUGUUCCAGGUGUGUCCAGGUGAGUUUCCAGGUGGUUUUGGGGUCUCUCAGGUGUGCCCAGGUGUGCCCAGGUGUGCUCAGGUGCAGGGCCGGAAGGGCAGCGUGGUGACGCCCCCAGGUGAGUUUCCAGGUGAGUUUUGGGAUGUUCCAGGUGAGUUUCCAGGUGUGUCCAGGUGAGUUUUGGGAUGUUCCAGGUGUGCUCAGGUGUGCCCAGGUGUGCUCAGGUGCAGGGCCGGAAGGGCAGCGUGGUGACGCCCCCAGGUGUGUCUCAGGUGUGUCCAGGUGUGCUCAGGUGAGUUUCCAGGUGUGUCCAGGUGAGUUUUGGGAUGUUCCAGGUGUGCUCAGGUGUGUUCCAGGUGAGUUUCCAGGUGGGUUUUGGGGUCUCUCAGGUGUGUCUCAGGUGUGUCUCAGGUAUCUCUCAGGUGCAGGGCUGGAAGGGCAGCGUGGUGACGCCCCCAGGUGAGUUUCCAGGUGAGUUUUGGGAUGUUCCAGGUGAGUUUUGGGAUGCUCCGGUGUCUCUCAGGUGUGCCCAGGUGUGCCCAGGUGUCCUCAGGUAUCUCUCAGGUGCAGGGCUGGAAGGGCAGCGUGGUGACGCCCCCGUGCAGCUCCAGCCCCGCCUGGGCCCAGGCCAGCAGGUCGCCCCGCGCAGGUGAGGCGCACCUGGCCAGCGCCGCCACCUCGGGCGGGGCCAGGGCGCGGCUCCACAGGUGCAGCUCGGCCAGCUC